CUAAAACGACUCUUGGCAACGGAUAUCUCGGCUCUCGCAUCGAUGAAGAACGUAGCGAAAUGCGAUACUUGGUGUGAAUUGCAGAAUCCCGUGAACCAUCGAGUCUUUGAACGCAAGUUGCGCCCCAAGCCUUCUGGCCGAGGGCACGUCUGCCUGGGUGUCACA
rnacentral:rRNA from 1 species